AGUGGCUGCUGAGUCGGGACAAAGAUGCUGAGAAUGUGGUGGACAAGAAUGACCUGAAUAUGCAGAAGGAGAGCACCAGCAUUGAUAUCGAGUUUGCCCAGGAACAGCACCAGUCUGCCUGAAGAAUCCCCAGUCCAGGACAAUCCUUCCCCCCCCCCCUGACCCCUAGCUCCUCCACCCUGACCUCUGGCCUCAAAGGGUCAUCAUAGUUGAACAAUUCCGUUCUGUAGGAAAUUCUGAGAAUAUAGAGUUUUCAAGCGCUGUACUCAACAACCGCAAUGUCUGUGUUGAGUUUUCAACACUCCAGACUGAAUAGUUUUGUUAAGCUUGAGUGCCAGAGAGGGACAGACACAAGGAGUUAUAGAAGUAGUUAUGGUAACACUAACAGUCAGUUCUUGCCGUAUGACAUCACAACGAAUAUCACGAAGAAUAAAAAGUUGAUUAAUUUGUUCCAUUCUUUAUGGGACAAACAUAAAUUCAAGGAAAUUGUUACAUUUAAAGCGAUUUAUUAACAUGUGUAAGCUUUCCAAGCAGGAUACUUUUUCUGUCUAUAGUUUGGACAGUAGUAGAGUUACAAAUGCGCUUUUGAUGCUGUUGCUGACAAAGAAAGGCAGUAACUACUUCAUUGUGAACACCCAGGGCACGAUACACCCAUGGGGUGUGCCUCAAAUGUGAAUUCCGCCCAAUAUUGUAAACAAGGUGCUAAAAGUAAACACAUCCGGUUUUGUUACGAGCACUUUGCAAUCCAAGCCCAAAGCACAUAGAAUCGACGCUAGAAAAGGCUUAGAAAAAUGACAGCAGUUUGGUUGUGUGAUCUAGUAAGGGCUUCAACUCUGAACGACGUUAAUGAGACCUCAAACUCGACCAUAGCACUCACAGCGAGGCCAUCAUGUUAUCUCAGAUUGUUGAGCUUCAGCAAGAUAGACAGACUUCACCAUAGAGGGUCAUCUGUAUUUCUACAUUUCUGUCUAAUCCAUCGACAAAACAUCAAACAUUAUUAGCCAACAAGAUGAAAACAUCAUUGAAGUGAAAGUCAAAAACAAUCCUGACUACCUUCGGGCACAAAUACUACAACUUGCUGAAGAAAUUCAGCACGAAUAUGUCUUGCGUCAGCCUAGCACGCCUCCUAUUAACUCUUCCAACAGCGGAGCCUUGGUGAGUUUGACUUCCGUCCAAGGUUCGAUGUUGCUUAGCAACAAUUAGAUGCUUGGUAUCAACAAAUUGUUCCGUACGAGUCGCUCGAACGUAUACGAUCUGAUCCAACAGAUAGAGCAGGCGUUGCGAGACUGGUCUGUUAAUGUGACUGACCUCGAUAUAUUGCUUUCCAAUAAUGUGAACCUUAUGCCUGAAGAGCAGUAUGCGAUUGACACCAUUCAACAACAGUAGUCGGGAAUUCCCGGGUUUGGGGUGGUGACUUUGUCGUCGGGAGUCUCUUUCUAUUGCCUGGUCGCAGAGGCAGCAGCAACAAGAACAACAAGUAUUAUUUGAGCGAUGCUCUGUGCUAGUUCCUAGCAAUCAUAGAUCGGUACCCUGCUGAAAAACAGGAUCUCUGGUCAGCUGGGCCCAGAUGCCCAGCAAUACUUCCUAGCCCAGGACCUUGGGGCAAAUGCUCAACAUGUCCUAUCUGCAUGGUGAAGCCAGUCUAAACCUUGGGCUCCAAACUUUCCUGCUGUGGAGCUGAGAUUACCUCAUCCAUAAGAGGGCUUAUACUCACAAGUUCAGGCCAAGAGAACGGUGUUCCCCAACUACAACACAACCAGUAUGUCUCAAUAGAGGACACCCUUCCUGAAAACCUCGCUGAGUGCGACUGCGCCAUACGUGACCCUUAAGUGAAAUGAGAUUCCAGGCUGAAUGUCAAACCGGUACUACUCAGGUCUUCAGCAAUAGCCUCAGCCUUGGACGCAGGUUCAUGAUGCACCCGUGGCCUUACUUAUUUCUGAACAUCUCAAUCUCACAGCAAUUGAUGUGAAUUAAUGAUAAUAAGACUCCACAAACCACGUUUUGUAGAGGGUAUAUUGGAGUCAAUUUUCUGUUAGUUGUUUAGUCAAUGCGGCAUUUUUUGCAUAUAUUAUAAAAAGAUUUGUAUCAAAUCUAAAUUUCUCAAAGGAUUAAAUUGGAACUUAAAUUGUGUGAAACCAUUGAACAGUAAGUGAUAAGUGGUGAUUUUUUUUGCAUGCAAAGCCCCAUUGUUUCAUUGGCCAAGUCACUCUUUUACCCAGUAUUAUUUUACUUUCAGUAUCUCACCAUACAUGGGAAAUCAGAAGAUAUGAAACUUAUAUUCUAAUCAGGGUUUUAACUAACAUUUUGCCCACAUUUGCGCUGUAAUCUAUAUGCAAUUCUGGGUUAUAACUAACAUUGUGUCCACAGUUGCGCAAAGUUGUUUGAAUAGUAGUGUCUAAAAACAAAUAAAGCAUAGUCACUUGCAUCCCUUGUAAUCAAUCAUGUUCAUGAAGGAGCCAUUGUGAAAUAUUAUGUUGCAUUUUGACAAAUUGCCAAGCAUAUGUCUUUUAGCUUAUCUUGUUAAGUGUUUUGCAGUACCAAGCCACGUUGACGCAGCAGCAAAAACAACAGUAGCAGUCUAGUAAGCUGUCUUACACGUUUGAGCUACCUAGUUGUAACAGUUUUCAGCAACGUUGUCACAAUAUGGAUUGUUUUAAUAAAACCUAAUGGAGUUAUAGAGCAUAAUUACUGAUUCUCGUGUAAGAUCGUACUUUUUUAAUGCACUUUCAUCAACAACACUGAUGCAUAUGCAUGAAAGCUAAUACAAGUAUUAAUGCACAAACUAAAGUAUGAAUUUCUUGAUAAUUUAAUUUAUUUGCAAACAUUAGUUGCAACACAUAUCUAAGUAUAUCGAUAUUUUUUACUUUGCUUUAAUUUAUUGUUUGAUUUUUAUCACUUUGCCUCUCUUUUCCUAACCAGGUUAAGGGUCACCCCGCAACGUUCAGUGCCUAGCGAUGAAAUCAUCCACCAUUACAUGUAGUUGGUUGAGGGUCGCCCAAAACCACCCGAUGCCUUGCGAUGAAAACCUCCAAAGGUACUGUGACCUUGCCCUUGUACACACCUAAUGGUCAGGUAUAAGGUCACUUGGGCUUAGAUAGUCACUGCAGUAAGAACAUGUAAGGUUUAAAAGGUACUUGUUCACAGAUUUUAUGAGUACUUUGACUGACCCGAAUGACAUAACUAAAGCACAUUUAAAAGUGGCUACAUAUAACUACACAGUGUAUACCAAUAUUUUGCAGUAUGUUAUUGUAAAUUGCUUUUACUUCUUUUGAUACAUAAUAAUAUUAAUAAUCUCAGUUUAGAACCUAAAAGAAGGCAGCUUUUAUGAUUUUCUUUUUUUAAUUUUGUAUAUUUAUUACUGUAGGUUAUUCCAUAAACUGUGUUGAUGUGGUUUUAAUAAUGUUUGAAAAAUGAUAUUGAAAACUCGAUGAUCAAGCUAUUUUAUAUUGUUCCAUCUGUAUUUGUAAACAAAAUGACUGCAGAACAGGGCAUCACUAAGUAAAUUUAUUAACAUUUACCUUUAAAUUUGUAUUUUUUACAUGUUUGUAUUUGUCAAAAUGACAUCAACAACAGGGCAUCAACAGAACCAUCUAUCUGUAUUAACAUUUUCAUUUAAAUAUUGCUCAAUCACUCACGGAAUUUCUACAGAAAGAAAAAAAACAGGACAGGACUAUAUCUUUAAACAUUUCCCUUAAAAUAGUGUAUAUCAUUUUCAAUAAACAAGAUGACUUCACAAUGGGACAUCCGAGACUGCAAUGACGAAAUGAGUGUCCUCACUUCAGCAGUGGAGGCCAAUACACAAUACGAGAGUUUCCAGCGGCUUACCUUAUCUGAAAACCUGGGUUGCAGAGCAAUGAGUAUGUCCAACGAGCAUUUGCAGUCAUCGUCUGCAGAUUAUGAGAUCCCCAUGCUCCACAACCCUCAGUCUAUGAACAUCAUGCAGAGCGAACCUUGGACGUCCCUUGACGAAAUCAAACCAGCAAAUCAGAAGGACAGCCUGUUGCUACCGUUGUUAUCAUAUUAACCCCAUACCGAAGAAGCUCAGAGAUAUAAAUGCUGUUUAAGAUGUGCUAGUCUCUACAUACCCCGUGUCUGGUGUGAACAUGUACAAUUGAAGGUCUCUACAUACCCCAUGUCUGGUGUGAACAUGUACAAUUGAAGACCUCUACAUACGUCAUGUCUGGUGUGAACAUGUACAAUUGAAGGUCUCCACAUACUCCAUGUCUGGUGUGAACAUGUACAAUUGAAGGUCUCUACUUACCCCAUGUCUGGUGUGAACAUGUACAAUUGAAGACCUCUACAUACUCCAUGUCUGGUGUGAACAUGUACAAUUGAAGGUCUCUACAUACUCCAUGUCUGGUGUGAACAUGUACAAUUGAAGGUCUCUACAUACUCCAUGUCUGGUGUGAACAUGUACAAUUGAAGGUCUCUACAUACCCCAUGUCUGGUGUGAACAUGUCUCAUCUUUGAAAUUGGAAAAUUAGUGACUUGAUUCAGACAGAAAUCGCAUAAUGACAAAUCACAACAAAAAAACGAAAGCCAGAAAGUCUUGUGGCCAGCAAUGUUUUUAUGUGACCAUCCAAGUUGUGUUCAAAGAAAAACAAUAGUUCAUGUUUUAUUGGAACUAUGAUGCUGUCAGUCAUUUUAUGUUGAAGGCUUUAAAUAACUAUAUUUAAAUAUAAUAAGAUUAAGAUUACUUGAUCAAAGAAAUAAUGUAAAAUAGUAUUUUAAGCGCAAAAUUUACAAGUCUAUCCAAUUACUGUGUCUGUAUUAUGACAUUUUAUUUUGGAAAUGUUAAGGAAAAUAUAAUGUAAGUAAAUAUAUGUCUAUGAA